rnacentral:rRNA from 1 species
CCGUAGGUGAACCUGCGGAAGGAUCAUUACCUAGAGUUGUAGGCUUUGCCUGCUAUCUCUUACCCAUGUCUUUUGAGUACCUUACGUUUCCUCGGCGGGUCCGCCCGCCGAUUGGACAAACUUAAACCAUUUGCAGUUGCAAUCAGCGUCUGAAAAAAACUUAAUAGUUACAACUUUCAACAACGGAUCUCUUGGUUCUGGCAUCGAUGAAGAACGCAGCGAAAUGCGAUAAGUAGUGUGAAUUGCAGAAUUCAGUGAAUCAUCGAAUCUUUGAACGCACAUUGCGCCCCUUGGUAUUCCAUGGGGCAUGCCUGUUCGAGCGUCAUUUGUACCUUCAAGCUCUGCUUGGUGUUGGGUGUUUGUCUCGCCUCUGCGUGUAGACUCGCCUCAAAACAAUUGGCAGCCGGCGUAUUGAUUUCGGAGCGCAGUACAUCUCGCGCUUUGCACUCAUAACGACGAGCGUCCAAAAGUACAUUUUUUACACUCUUGACCUCGGAUCAGGUAGGGAUACCCGCUGAACUUAAGCAUAUCAAUAAGCGGAGGAA